rnacentral:pre_miRNA from 1 species
CCGAAGAAAGAUGCUAAACUAUUUUUGCGAUGUGUUCCUAAUAUGUAGUAUAAGUAUAUUGGGAGCAUUUUGCAUCCAUAGUUUUGUAUCAAUAAAUGG